rnacentral:rRNA from 1 species
UGAAGUUUGGUGGAAGGUGCGGAGAGAUCCAAGCCAAUCUGGUUGAGUCCAAGCUGUCGAGAAAAGCCUCGUUACUGUUGAAGCAAUGGUGCCCGUACCGCAAACCGACACUGGUAGGUGGGGGUAAAUGUCCCAAGGUGAUCGAGAUAACCCUCGUUAAGGAACUCGGCAAUCUAGCCCCGUAACUUCGGGAGAAGGGGUGCCCUCGCGAGAGGGUUACAAUAAAGUGGCUCGAGUGACUGUUUAACAAAGACACAGGUCUCUGCAAAAGCGAAAGCUGAAGUAUAGGGGCUGACACCUGCCCAGUGCUGGAAGGUUAAGGGGAGGAGUUAGGGUAACCGAAGCUCUGAACCGAAGCCCCAGUGAACGGCGGCCGUAACUAUAACGGUCCUAAGGUAGCGAAAUCCCUUGUCGGGUAAGUUCCGACCCGCACGAAAGGUAUAACAACUUGAGCGCUGUCUUAACGAGGGACUCGGUGAAAUUGAAUUACCCGUGAAGAUGCGGGUUUCCCGCGACUGGACAAAAAGACCCCGUGGAGCUUUACUAUAACUUGCCAUUGAGUCUGGGUUUAUCAUGUGUAGGAUAGGUGGGAGGCUGAGAAGCCAGGGCGCUAGCCUUGGUGGAGCCAACGUUGAAAUACCACUCUUGAUGGAUCUAGCCUCUAACUCUAGAACAAGCUAGUGGACAGUGGCUGGUGGAUAGUUUGACUGGGGCGGUCGCCUCCUAAAUUGUAACGGAGGCGCCCAAAGGUUCCCUCAGGGUGGAUGGAAAUCACCCUAAGAGUGCAUUGGCAUAAGGGAGCUUGACUGCGAGACAUACAAGUCGAGCAGGGACGAAAGUCGGGCAAAGUGAUCCUACGGCACCGAGUGGAAGGGCCGUGGCUUAUCGGAUAAAAGCUACCCCGGGGAUAACAGGCUUAUCUUGCCCAAGAGUUCACAUCGACGGCAAGGUUUGGCACCUCUAUGUCGGCUCGUCGCAUCCUGGGGCUGGAGUAGGUCCCAAGGGUCCGGCUGUUCGCCGGUUAAAGCGGCACGCGAGCUGGGUUCAGACCGUCGUGAGACAGGUCGGUCUCUAUCCGUCGUGGGCGUCUGGAGAUUUGCGAGGGUCUUUCCAUAGUACGAGAGGACCUGGAAGGACAGACCAAUGGUGUGUCAGUUGUUCUGCCAAGGGCAUUGCUGAGUAGCCAAGUCUGGUUUGGAUAAGCGCUGAAAGCAUCUAAGUGCGAAGCCGGCCUCAAGAUUAGAUCUCCCAUCCCGGGCAACCGGGGGUAAGACCGCAGGUAGACUACCUGCUUGAUAGGCUGCGUGUGUAAGUACCGUAAGGUAUUAAGCUUAGCAGUACUAAUGGUCGAGGGCUUGACCU